GCUCCAACGCAAACCAAUGGGUGAUGUCACACCUCGCUACGUCCAUUUUUAUUUACAGUCUAUGGCGUUUUCGCAUGGCAGCAGUUGACUGACAUGUGAGAGUUGCAACGGCUACAAGACGCGCUGUCAACUUCCGUAGUUCCCUACUGACUAAAGCUCAUCAUGUGGCUACAAACACUGGCUACAACUUUUCCCCCAUGUUUUCAACAAGUCCAUGUAGGGAAACUGGAAUCCCGGAUCUGUUCCAGGAGUAAGCAAACCUCAUUCAAAAUGACAUUUGUAAUGACACAAAUAACUGAAAAUUCAAUCCAGCUUUGGAAUUUAGCUUUAAACUGGAAUUACGCUCCUCUGAACCCACCUAGAAAAAGGUGUUAUGGCUUGUAAAGGAACCAAAUCUCACCAUCACACAGUGUGGGCCUUGAUGUAAAGCAAGUUGAUUAGUUGAUUGGCUUCCUUUUGUCCAGAGAUGAAAACAAACUUUAACAUACUACAUACAAAGAAAGAGCCACAUGAGUGCGUCAGAGCUCCUCCAUGCACGAUAGCCUGACAGUUGCACGUUAAACACCAGAACGGACGAGCUCAUGAGUGAGUCAAGAGGCUGCAGCUAUUUCAUAAUAACAACAAGACAGAAAGGACCAAACAGUGCAGCUAAAACUGACAUUAGAGGAUUAUAUCACCACAUUACUGACAGGCCACCACUCUGGAGGGAAUGCUGAAAAUGUCUUGAUUGUAAAUGAAGCCUGGUCUGACAGAAUAAACCCACAGAAAUGAGAUAAAACAAUUAGAAAACAACUGUCUGUUUAGGAGUAGCCAUCACUUUAUGACCCAGGGAUGAGAGUAAAUAUAACGUAGGUCAUAGUGUGGGUGUUUUAUGCCCAGCCUCUCCCAUGUUUCCAUCUCUGCUCCUGUUGUGUUCUCUAAUCAAUGAGAUAAACCCCCACACGACUUGUGGGCUUGUGCCCUACAUCAGCGCUCAACCGCAUGUCUGCAGAACUUGCUCUAAACGCUCCGUAAGCACUUUAUCAGAAACGCUUGUUCUUUUGGUCUUUUUCUGCUUUCUUGUUGUUUUGUUUUUCUACCCCUCCCUCCCUCCUUUUUCUUUAAAAAAAAAGAAACCUGCAUUCUGACACUCAUUAAAAGAGAAAAGAGGGAAAAACAUCAAGAGACGGAAGCGAGGCACUCUCACGCUCGCCUCUCUCCAACCUGCGGUCACGUACAGCCGUCACGGCGCACACAGGGAGAUUUCCCUUCAUGCAGUCUGUGGUCCUGCACUGUGCACGGUGUGAAAACAUCACAUGCAGGGCGUCCACCGGGUCACAGCCGGUUUCAGACAUACAAGAGCAGCAGGGGAACAAGUGUUUUACUUAAGCUGAUUUUUUGCCGACACAAUCCCAGCGUAGCAGUGCAAACACUCUCUCCGGUUUCACUCGGGCUGUGUGCUGCGUGGCCACUUCCUCCUGCAACAGGAAGCAGGUGUCGAUAAGUACAGGAAGUGAAAACUGGCACCGGCUUCAGAAGCCCCUGCGGGACACCCUCAGUAUGUUGCAGACUCCAGUCCAGGCCUGCAGUGACACACGCAGAACUCCUGGAUGCAGACAACUCACACAUCUCAAAUUUUGGAGGCUCUUUGCAGGCUGCCAGCGCUCAGAGAGACUCUGAAAGCAGGGGACACAUAGACGGAGGGGGGGACAGAGCGGGAUGGAUGGACGGAGACAGAGAGACGGAGGGUUGAGAGGACGUCUCUGACCUCUCUGUAGUUUUCUGGACCUGCUGCUUUGAUUUGGCCUCUCUGUGGCCUCGGAGCACCGCCCGGGUUUGUGUGCGAGCAGCGCCGCCUUCUGGCUGGAAGAUGAGCAGCAGCAGCAGCAGCAGCCGCAGAAACAACAGCAGCAGCAGCAGCAGCCUGCUGCAGUGCUCUCUGCUCGGUGCAGCUCCGAGCAUCACACCGACCUGAGCACAGGAGGAGAAAAAUAAAUGUUUGGGCUGCUCGCUGUCUCAUCUGAGGUCAGAGGUCGAGUUAAUGAUCCUGUAAACAUCUGAAAUCCGAAACCCGGAGAUAAAACAGCGACACAUUCAGCUUUUCAUUCAACUCUCUUCAAUGUAUCCAGCUUUAGAGAGGUGCGGAUAAGGGUCAUCCACUGGCCCAGGGGUGCGAUUUCAGCUUGCCGGAGGGAGGAUACCUGAUAUGUCAGGCUGAGUUUUUUAGCAUGAAGGGUUUGCAGGAUGUCGGCAGAACUGAAGGACCCCCAUAACAAAGAGAGCGAGAGAAUGCAGAGAGA